rnacentral:lncRNA from 1 species
CAAAGGGUUAGGAUGUGUUCUCAUGCAACGUGGGAAAGUCAGAGCCUAUGCCUCGCGACAACUUAAAGAAUAUGAGAGGAAUUAUCCUACUCAUGAUCUAGAGUUGGCAGCAGUCAUCUUCGCGCUAAAGAUCUGGAGGCACUAUCUAUAUGGGGAGAAAGUGGAGAUAUAUUCAGACCAUAAAAGCCUCAAAUAUUUCUUCACUCAAAAGGAACUCAACAUGCGGCAACGACGUUGGCUCGAGUUUUUGAAAGAUUACGACCACACUAUUCAAUACCAUCCCGGAGCUGAUGCGUAUGAAGAAGAAAGUACGAGAAGGUGCUAUUCCGGAAGCGAGAAUCGAUGAAGAAGGAAUACUUCGAGUCCACUCCAAACUUUAUGUUCCUAACGACUCUGAUUUGAAGUACAAGAUUAUGAUGGAGGCACACAAUAAACCAUUUGCGAACCAUCCGGGAAGUACUAAAAUGUAUCGUGAUCUUCGACAUACAUUUUGGUGGAACAAUAUGAAGAGAGAGAUUGCAAAGUUUAUCUCGACGUGUUUAACUUGUCAGCGUGUAAAGGCAGAGUAUCAAGUACCUAAGGGUCCAUUGCAACCACUUGAGAUUCCGAAAUGGAAGUGGGAACACAUUACCAUGGAUUUUGUUACGGGUCUUCCUACUGUUUCUCAAGGCAUCGAUGUUAUUUGGGUUAUUGUUGAUAGAUUAACUAAGUCUGCUCAUUUCUUACCGAUACGGGAGACUUAUUCCCUUGAACGUCUUGCUCAUAUGUAUAUAAAUGAGAUUGUGAGAUUGCAUGGCAUGCCAGUAUCCAUAGUUUCGGAUCGUGACCCAAGACUUACUUCAAGAUUUUGGGUUAGCUUGCAAAAAGCUAUGGGCACGGAUUUACGAUUUAGUUCGGCAUACCAUCCUUAAACGGAAGGACAAUCAGAGAAGACUAUUCAAACUCUUGAAAAUUUAUUAAGAUUGUGUGUCCUAGACUUCAAAGGGAGUUGGGAUAAGUAUUUAACAUUGGUGGAAUUCUCCUACAACAACAGUUAUCAGACAAGCAUUGGUGUGGCCCCAUUUGAAGCAUUGUAUGGACGAAAGUGUCGCUCUCCAGAUUCUCCUACAACAACAGUUAUCAGACAAGCAUUGGUGUGGCCCCAUUUGAAGCAUUGUAUGGACGAAAGUGUCGCUCUCCAGUAUGUUGGGACCCGAGUUGGUACGUAUGACUACGAAAAAGAUCCAAAUGAUUCGACAAUGUAUAUAAAUGGCACAAGAUAGACAAAAGAGUUAUGCGGAUCUUCAUCGAAAGGACGUGAAAUUUAGUAUUGGGGAUCAUGUAUUGUUGCGUGUUGCCCCAUGGAAGGGAGUUACAAGAUUCGGGAAGAGAGUAAAGCUAAAUCCAUGAUUUAUUGGUCCAUUUCAAAUUCUUGACCGAGUAGGUAAUGUAGCCUAUGGACUCGCGUUACCUCCGAGUAUGUCUCGUGUUCAUAAUGUGUUUCACAUAUCUGUACUUUGUAAAUAUGUGAAAGACCCGAACUACGUUAUUAAGUUAGAACCAUACGAGAUAGUCAAAGACUUAACUUACGAAGAUGUACCUGUCAAGAUCUUGGAUAGGAAGGCGCAUGUCCUACGCACAAAUGUCAUACCACAAGUUAAAGUUUUGUGGAGGAACCAUGCUAUAGAGGAAAUGACCUGGGAGUUGGAAACAAAAAUGAAAGCGAGGUAUCCUCACCUUUUCGAAACACCAGGUACGUACGUCAAUUUCGAGGACGAAAUUUCAUAAGGGGGGGAGGUUGUAAGACCCCAACUUAUUAUUUAAUGAAAUUAAAUUUCCUCUAUUUAUUAUCUUGAAAUAGUAAGGGUUGAUUUGAUUAAUGUGGUAAGUUAUGGGUAAAAUGCGCAAUUAUUUCAAACAAGCAAGUGGUUUUAAAAUAUUCAUUGUUGACGGGGAAUAUUCGUUUGGUCGUGGAAUAUUUUUACUGUCGGGGAAUAUUCGUACGACGGCGCAGCCUUGUGUGGGCCCCAUAACGAAAAGUGAUUGGAUGAAGAAAACGACAAGAAUAAGUUUGUUAUAAAUAACGGCGUAGUUAUUACCGUUAAUACUGUGGGAAUACCCGGUGGUUAAAACACAGUAGCACACGGUAUUACACCAAUUAUUGAUUCUUACGUAAGAAGGCACUACUCAAUAAUUGUUAUAGUAAUUACUGUUUAAUAUUUUAUUUUAUUGAUUCAAUAAUUGUUGCGUUGAUAUUUUAUAUUACUGUUGUUUUAAUAAUUGUCAUUUCACAGUAUUUUCUAUUAUCGGAGCAAUAAUUCAUAUUAUCUGAAUAAUAUUAUUAGAUAACAUUAUUGGAAAUGUCUAGAAAGUUCUGUCUAAGGAGAGGUUUGGUCAUCUAAUUGCGCGCCAGUAAGGAGAGAUCCUUAUUGGAAAGCCCCCUCUUUCUUGGGAACUGCCUAGUUGUCAAUAAUGUGAUUCUAUAAUAUUAUAUGUGAAUAAUUAAUUAUUGAUUUAUAUGAUGAGAAAAAUAUUGAUUUUUAUGUGGAUAUAGAUGGAGAAAAUUUUUAAUGUGGCAAUUGUUAAAAAUUAAUAUUUUAUCUUUUUCUGAUAAAAUAAUUCAUUUAAAUAUAUUAUUUUAAUAUAAUGAUGGUGAUAUUUUUACAAUGAAUGUGGGAUAUAUAAGUAUAUGAGGAGGAAGAGUAUUUUUUUGGUAUUAAAUGAUUAACACAUGUUUUGUGUGUCGGUAGACCCCAAUUCUUGACCGAAAUUUGAUUAUAGCCUGUAAAAUUGCCCGUUUGUGGAUUUCGGUCAAUUUCUGUUUUGAAUUUGAAAAAACUUUCUUCUGUAAAGUUGUAGAGAAUGAAAUUUCAUAUGGAAAAGACCUGUGGUUUGAAUUUUUCUAACAAAAGGGCUAUUUAUUGUGAAUUAUUGAAGUUUCGAUAUAUCGAGUGUGAAUUAAUUUUUGGAGUUUAAAUGAUUUUUUGUUAGAAAAACGUUUUUUGUACUUUGGUGGCCUUCACUUGCACAUGUUAAUGGCUGAAUUCAAUUAUCUAGAGGUGGGCUUGAAUAUUUUGUAAUUAUAUUAAUAUUAUAUUAAAUUUUCUACUUUGGUGUGCUAAGCAUUUUCCUAUAAAUAGGGUGCUUAAGUUAGAAUUAAAAAUCACACUAGAAACUCAAAUCUUCUCUCUCUUUCUCUCUCGAUAUAUUGAGCGUAUUCUUGUGAGUAUUUUAAUACUUUGAGUGUUGCUAUACGAUGCAAGUUCAAGUCAUAGCCUAUAUCCGGAGUUUCAACUAGAAGUACUAUCUUUUCAAGGUAAGGGAUGUUAUUUUCCUUUAAAAUGAUAUUAUUUUCUUCAAUAUCAUUAUGCCGAAAUAUUGGUUUGAACUUUUAAUCAAAUUUGGAAUUUUUUGUGUCGGGGUUACUAUUCACGUAUACGGCACUAUUCACGUAUACGACACUAUUCACGAAUACGGCAUUAUUCAUCGAAAAAUGAAAUUUUUCCUUUUCGUCCAAAAUAUUUAUUAUGGAUACUAGCUUUAAUUGUAUCCAUGUUUUGAUCAUUCUUGAAUUUUACUUCACUAUUAUUAUUUAUGAGGUAUUUUUGGACAUGAAAUAGCUGAAAUACGAAUCCUUGAUAUUUAUUCUUUUGUUUCACUAGAUUCGUUUCCUUUAAAAUAUUUUUCAUCAUCCUCAGUCUUAAAUAAUGAUAUUAUUGAAUAUCUUUGGCCUGUAGUGCAAAGAUGAAAAUUUGAUUCAAGAUGAAUAUUGAUUGAUGUUACAGGGAUAAAAUAUUGACGAUGGACUUUUAAAUUCAUAGAUAAUAGUAGAUUUCAUUCUCUACGUAACUCUUCUAUGAAUUAUUAUUUCCGCUGCGAAUAUUUAUCUGAAACUUGUUGUCUAUUGUAUUUUAUCAGAUUUUUUUCCCUGUUGAAGACUAACGAUAAUUUGUUCUAUAUUAUCUUUGUAAUAAUAUUCUUUACUGGGCUAGUUGAGCUCACCCUUUUCCUUUUUGUUCUAUUUUUCUUCUCAGGAGGCGAGAAUGUAGCGAGUACUAGUCGGGAUAUGGAAUGAUGAUUCUAGAAGUUGUUUAGUAGUCCUCACCAUUUUUGUAAAAUAAUGUAUCAAUAAUUGUGAUGAAGAUUUAUUUGGGUAUGGAUAUUGUCUAGAAGACAAUAUUUGUAUUUAAACUCACAGUUUUUAUGAUGUAUUAAUAAAGUUGUUGUUAUUUCUGUACCAUGUUAUUGACGACCUAAAAUGGGUGAUGUAUACCUAAAUGGGUGGUGUCUAAACAUGGAGUAUCUGUCUACCCUGUGAAGAUUGAAGCAAUACAAAGUUGGGAGCAACCGAAGUCGGUGACCGAAGUACGUAGCUUUCUGGGCCUAGCUGGUUAUUAUCGUAGAUUCGUGGAAGGGUUUUCUCAAAUCGCUACUCCAUUAACUCAGCUAACUCGGAAGGAUACAAAAUUUGUUUGGAGCGAGGAAUGCGAGAAGAGUUUCCAAGAGCUUAUGAGGAGACUUAUUUCGGCACCUAUUCUAACAAUACCAUCUGGUUCGGAUGGAUUUGUUAUCUACAGCGAUGCUUCGGGCAAAGGGUUAGGAUGUGUUCUCAUGCAAUGUGGGAAAGUCAUAGCCUAUGCCUCGCGACAACUUAAAGAAUAUGAUAGGAAUUAUCCUACUCAUGAUCUAGAGUUGGCAGCAAUCGUCUUCGCGCUAAAGAUCUGGAGGCACUAUCUAUAUGGGGAGAAAGUGGAGAUAUAUUCAGACCAUAAAAGCCUCAAAUAUUUUUUCACUCAAAAGGAACUCAACAUGAGGCAAUGAUGUUGGCUCGAGUUGUUAAAAGAUUACGACCACAUUAUUCAAU